GAUGAACGCUGGCGGCGUGCUUAACACAUGCAAGUCGAACGAAGCAUUUGCGACAGAUUUUUUCGGAAUGAAGUUGCUUAUGACUGAGUGGCGGACGGGUGAGUAACGCGUGGGUAACCUGCCUUGUACUGGGGGAUAGCAGCUGGAAACGGCUGGUAAUACCGCAUAAGCGCACAAUGUUGCAUGACAUGGUGUGAAAAACUCCGGUGGUAUAAGAUGGACCCGCGUCUGAUUAGCUAGUUGGUGAGAUAACAGCCCACCAAGGCGACGAUCAGUAGCCGACCUGAGAGGGGGACCGGCCACAUUGGGACUGAGACACGGCCCAGAAUCCUACGGGAGGCAGCAGUGGGGAAUAUUGCACAAUGGAGGAAACUCUGAUGCAGCGACGCCGCGUGAGUGAAGAAGUAAUUCGUUAUGUAAAGCUCUAUCAGCAGGGAAGAUAGUGACGGUACCUGACUAAGAAGCUCCGGCUAAAUACGUG
rnacentral:rRNA from 1 species